rnacentral:rRNA from 1 species
UUCUAUCUUGGUCAUUUAGAGGAAGUAAAAGUCGUAACAAGGUCUCCGUAGGUGAACCUGCGGAGGGAUCAUUACGAGAGAUGGCGGGCCCCCCGGCCCCCGUCCCCAACCCUUUGUCCAACGAACCCUUUUUGCCUCGGGGGUGGAGCGUCCGUCGCCGGUCGCCGCCCCCGGAGGACCACCCAACGCUGUCUCUUUGCGUCGGAGUAUCGAUGGAAUAAAUGAAAACUUUCAACAACGGAUCUCUUGGUUCUGGCAUCGAUGAAGAACGCAGCGAAAUGCGAUAAGUAAUGUGAAUUGCAGAAUUCAGUGAAUCAUCGAAUCUUUGAACGCACAUUGCGCCCUCUGGCAUUCCGGGGGGCAUGCCCGUUCGAGCGUCAUUAAAUCCAAUCAAGCCUGGCUUGGUAUUGGGCGUCGGGACGUCCCCGCGCCCGAAUUUCACCGGCUGGCCGAGGACCGUCUUAGCGUUGUGACACACAAUCAUUCGCUUUCCGACGGGGUCGGGCAAGUCCAGCCGUUAAACGCAACGAAUUUCUCGCGAAAUUCGAUUAAGGUCGACCUCGGAUCGGGUAGGAAUACCCGCUGAACUUAAGCAUAUCAAUAAGCGGAGGA